rnacentral:rRNA from 1 species
UGGGGAAUAUUGCACAAUGGGCGAAAGCCUGAUGCAGCGACGCCGCGUGAGGGAUGACGGCCUUCGGGUUGUAAACCUCUUUCAGUAGGGAACAAGGCCAGUGUUUAGCUGGUUGAGGGUACUUGCAGAAGAAGCGCCGGCUAACUACGUGCCAGCAGCCGCGGUAAUACGUAGGGCGCAAGCGUUAUCCGGAAUUAUUGGGCGUAAAGAGCUCGUAGGCGGUUUGUCGCGUCUGCCGUGAAAGUCCA